UCCAAUCAUGCAAGGGGGUUAAGGAAAAAUAAAAACUGAGAAGUUGAAGUCUUACUCCAUGUGCUAGAUUUGCUAGAUGGCUGUGUGGACCAAACCAGGCACUGCUGUGCAAUGACUUUUGCUGAAUAUCUGAACUCCACGACAUAGUGGAUAUGCUUCUGGACCGCUUCUCAUUAGGCAGAUCAUCUGGAUUGGCACAAGGGGAUCAAGGGUGGAAUAAAUGCUUAAUUGAUAAAAAUACUGAGAAGGGUCCCCAUUUUCCUUUCGGCUUCUCCCGCGAUCCCAGACCCCCCCAGACCCCCUUCCCGCGCGGUGACCGCC